rnacentral:tRNA from 1 species
GGAAGAGAAACGUCCCUGGUGGGGCGGCCGGUCUUCAAAACCGGUUGGUGGCGCCAAGCGCCGCCGGGUGGGUUCGACUCCCAUUCUCUUCCGCCA